GUAUAUUAGGUUUGCUGGAAAUAAAGUAUGUCUCAGAGACGUCUCUCAAAGAUUUGGCGUAUGUCCUGCAACAACUUUUAGGCAAAAUGAACGAGUGUUAAAUUUUUUAAUUGAUAUAGCUCCAAAUAUAAUCAAGUUUCCUGAGAAUAAGGAACACUCUGCAACCGAAUUCUUACAAAUUGCAGAUUUUCCUAACGUAUUAGGCUGUAUUGAUGGUACAUCAAUUAAGGUGAUAACACCAGCACAUAAAAGAAAGUCCACUUAUCAAAGAUCCACGAUUCACGUGUUUUAAAUCUGUCGGAUAUCAGUGAAAAUU